rnacentral:rRNA from 1 species
GACGAACGCUGGCGGCGUGCCUAAUACAUGCAAGUCGAACGCUGAAGGAAGGAGCUUGCUCUUUCUGGAUGAGUUGCGAACGGGUGAGUAACGCGUAGGUAACCUGCCUGGUAGCGGGGGAUAACUAUUGGAAACGAUAGCUAAUACCGCAUAAAAUUGAUUAUUGCAUGAUAGUCAAUUAAAAGGUGCAACUGCACCACUACCAGAUGGACCUGCGUUGUAUUGGCUAGUUGGUGGGGUAACGGCUCACCAAGGCGACGAUACAUAGCCGACCUGAGAGGGUGAUCGGCCACACUGGGACUGAGACACGGCCCAGACUCCUACGGGAGGCAGCAGUAGGGAAUCUUCGGCAAUGGACGGAAGUCUGACCGAGCAACGCCGCGUGAGUGAAGAAGGUUUUCGGAUCGUAAAGCUCUGUUGUAAGAGAAGAACGAGUGUGAGAGUGGAAAGUUCACACUGUGACGGUAUCUUACCAGAAAGGGACGGCUAACUACGUG